rnacentral:rRNA from 1 species
GGUCAUUUAGAGGAAGUAAAAAUCGUAACAAGGUUUCCGUAGGUGAA